AUUCUUUUUCCCAGUUCCGCGGGUUGGCCGGGCAGUCCUUCCACUGGUCUUGUCUGGGUUCGCUCAGGUGACUGCGUUCACUGGAUGCUGGGCUCAGCUGGGGUGGCGGCAAUGGCUGGGCGCCAAGCCUCUCUCUCACGUGGCCCUGCAUCCCUGGCUCCUUCCCGGCACGGUGGCUCAGGGUUCUGAGAGGAUGAAGGCCUGGGCUCUGCCACUUGUAUCAUGCCACCUUCCAUCACAGUCCGUAGGUCAGCGCAGUCACGGGGCCAGCCCAGCUUUGAGGGGUGAGGAACAGACUGGCUCCGGAUGGAAGGAGCAGCAAAACGUCGCGGGCGUGUUUUCCAUCUCCCACGCAGGGGGAGGCCAAUUCUCUUCGGGCCCUGCUCCCAUGGUCUCCAGUCCCCAUAACUGGAGUUGGAUGUUUGCCUGCCUCAGGGGAAAGUGCCAGAGUCCAAUCUGGGAGGAAGAAACAUACACAUGAAAAGAAUCGCAAGAUUUUGCUAAUUUAUAUCAGGAAAAGAUCUGGAUAACAUACAUGGGAACGUUUUCUGUGGGGGCUAGUCCACGGAGGGAAGAAUGUAAUUUUCACUGGGCUGGAUUUAUCAAUAUGGGCAUAGUCCCCUGAGAUUCCAGCUUGAAGGUGCCAGUUUGAGCAGCUAGGAGUGGUUUGCAUGGUUUGCUUAGCUGGUUGACUUGAAACCUUGAUUCAGCUGAGGCCUAUGCUAAACUGAUGUUGCAAUGCCAGAAAUUCCCUGCUGUAAUAUGGAGGAAGGAACCCAAAGACUGAGAGAGCAGGAAGGCUGAGGCAGCUUUACCCUGUGACCCCUCAUAUACCCCCGAGCCAAGUUCCAUGCUCCUAACUUCCUCUCAGAACCUGGAGGAAACUCCCUUCACCAAGGCAUCGAGAAACACAGCCGUGAGGGGAACGUGAUAUGGGACCUGUUCUCUGCAGGCUGGGGAUACUGCUGGAAGGUGCUGCCACGGAAAUGGGCCCCAUGACUUUAGUGGAACUGAGGGGAUCCCUGGGGAACAGAGCACACAUAGCAGUGCUUGGCCACCCGGGACUCCAGCUGUCAAGUGGCAACCAGAAUGGUCUAAGCCACAGAUGUCUUUAGCAAAGGCUAAUUGUUCAAGGGCCAGUGGGACCAAUGGGACCAAACAGAUACGCCUCCUCUGAGUUCUCCUUGAUCUGUGCUACAGAAACAACAAAACAAGAAACAAACAAAAGCCUCCAGCUCGGGCAGUUGAAGCCCGACUUGAGCCACUGUGAAAGCACCCCCCGGAAUGGAAGAGAGGCCAGUGCCCUUCAGAGCGGACCCUUCCAUAGCACCCCAGAUACGUACUGUACUCUUCCUCUUAGCCUGCCUUCCACAAAGGGUCCUGGCCAUUUGCUGGAGAACUGUGCUCCGUGAAAGGAAAAUGCACAGACUUUCCAGGGAUUAGCAGACCUUGAGUCUAUCAAAUACUAAUUCCUGGGGACACAGAAAGCCACUGUGUAGAGGCUUAGGUGGGGCAGGUAACAACCAGAGUUUUGACCUAAGUCCGGGCACCGUGCACCCAGUGGCCUCUGGACUCAUCUUGCAAUUAUUUUUUUACUUUCAGGGUGUAUAACUGAAAUUUACAGGAGAAUUCACACAUGAGCCUCCAGACCUGUGGAAUAGGGCCAUUGUGGUAAAAAAACAAAAGGCCAAGAGGAAGCCCCUGGAACUUCCCCUUUCUUACCGAUCAAGAAACCCAAGUAAAGGAGUAACUCUGGGAGUAUCACAGAAAUCAUGCAGUCAUCAAAGACGUGAAAGCCGCAGGGCUGGUCCCCACCACAUCCCACCAGACUCGCCUGUUUGGUCUAUGCAGAAGGCACUGGCCUUCAUGAACGACGGGGACUCAUCAUGAGCUCACUCAGGUGAUGGGUCUAGCAGCAGUCGCUCUUCCAGAGAACAGCAGAAGCAGGCUUCUUCCUCCUGGCAGGAACAGCAGUACAGUGUUCUCAUCUUGUCUGGAAACUCAUCAAGUCUCUGGUUCUCUGUUACAAUUUAAUCUACAGGGAUUUCCAUCAUCCUCCAUAUCACAGGACACCAUGCUUGUCACUGCGUCAAUUGCGUCACGUUCCUAGGAUCCGGAGAGGGGAAAGUAGAGGGUAUUUUUGAUGCAUAAGAUACGGAUGGACUAGGGGCUGGCCCCGUGGCUGAGUGGUUAAGUUUGCGCGCUCUGCUGCAGGCGGCCCAGUAUUUUGUCGGUUCGAAUCCUGGGCGCCGACAUGGCACUGCUCAUCAAACCACGCUGAGGCAGCGUCCCACAUGCCACAACUAGAAGGACCCACAACGAAGAAUAUACAAUUAUGUACCAGGGGGCUUUGGGGAGAAAAAGGAAACAUAUAAAAUCUUGAAAAAAAAAAAAUAUGGAUGGACUGAGAAUGGGAGGGAAAUCCCAUAAGACCAUAGGGGCCUGCCACCUGCGUGAAGCUUCUGGGGGUUCAGUGGUCUGAAUCAAGCUGGGAAAGAUGUGUAUUAGUCAGGGUUCUCCAGAGAAACAGAAACAACAGAAGAUAUAGACAUAAUGUGUGUAGAUAGAUAGAUACAGAUAUAAAGAGAUUUACUAGAAGAAAUUGGCUCACAUGAUUAUGGAGGCUGAGAAGUCCCAAGAUCUGCAGUCGCCAAGCUGGAGACCCAGGAGAGCUGAUAGUAUGUUCUAGUCCAGGUUCAGAGGGCUGAGAAGCAGGAGAGCUGAUGGUGUAAAUUCCAGUCUGAAGGCAGAAGAAGACUCAUGUCCCAGCUUGACGACAGGCAGGCAGAGAGCAAAUUCUCCCUUACUCAACCUUCUGUUCUGUCUAGGCCUUCAACAGAUUAGAUGUGGCCCACCCUCACUGGGGAGGACAAUCUGCUUUACUCGGUCUACAGACUCAAAUGUUAAUCCCAUCCCUUACAGGUAUGUCCGAAAUAAUGUUUGACGAAAUAUCUCAGCACCCCUGAGGCCCAGUCAAGCUGAAACAUAAAAUUAACCACCGCAUCCUGCAACGUGAAAGAACUUGCUGUGCUUUCCAUCCUCUCAGUUGUAGAAAGAAAGAAACACACUUGUUGGGCUUCUGUGUAUUUUGGAGGCAAUAUAUGUCACAUUUUGGUGUGCUGCUCUCAUUCACUCACUGAGUAUCCUAGAGGCUGUCAGCUUUGUGUGGGGUCCAGAGCAAGAGACAGCUUCCAGGUGGUCCAGGCUGGAGGGGAGGCAGCCUGUCCACACAGCCUGAUGACCCAGCAGAGCCAAAGGGGACUCAGGUGUCUGCAGCAAUUGAGGAUGAUGUUGGGGCCUGCGGCAAACGCUGAUGGAAGAACCACACAGAGUACCUGGGAUUUUGGAGCACAGCCUGGCUCUCCUGGGCAAGCCGUUUUCCUACUUUUCAGGAAGAGCUCGGCCUGCUGCUGGGCCCAGCUGAGAAGGGUCCCCAGGUGGGAGGCACCAGCGACUACAAAAGUAAUUCAUGACAGUCACACACAAUGUUCUCUUUCUCAGGAAUACUCGGGGUGUACGUGCCCAGCGAUUGCUACACUGAGAUGUCAGUGAAUCAUGCAUCAGCUGUGGAAGCACACUCGAUCUCUCCCUUUUUCAGCCUCUGUUUACUGGACUCGGGCUUCUAUUUCCUCUCCUCCAGACACUCUGCAAUUGCCAGGUUCACCAGUGAUCUCUUUAUUGCUAGUGCAAUGGAUACUUUAAAAAAAUUAUUUUGGAAAUAUGGAAAAUUUCAAACAUACAUGAAAGUUGAGAGAAGAGUAUAAUGAACUUCCACGUACCCAUCGCAAAACUUCAAUACGUAUCGACAUUUUACCCAUUUUGUUUAAUAGAUGCAUUUUAAUCCAUAUCGUAGGAAAGUGUUCAUGCUUUCUGAUCCUGUUGACCCCUUCCUCCUUGAUGCUUUCCCCAAGGUGACAUUCUUUUCUCGCUCUCUUCUGACCUCUCUGCUGCUCCACGGCAGGCUCCACUGGGGUCCUCCUUCCUCUCCUGUCCCUAAAUGUUAGUGUUUCCCAGGGGUCUGUCUUGGACCCUCCUCCAAGACACCCUCUCUCAUGGCCUCACUUACCUUCCAAGGGCUGGCGAGGCGCACAUUUCAGUGAGGUCCCCAUCUCUGCCUUCAGCCCAGACCCCUGUCCCAGGCUGAGACCGCUCCAUCCAGAAGUCUCCUACACACCUCUCCCCGGCUGUCCCAGGGGCAUCUCCUGCUCAACAUGCACCAAACUGAGUUCAUCCUGCUCACACCCGCUGCUCUCUGUAUUCCCAUUCAUCCACUCAACACAUAGUUAUUACAUCCCUCUUGGGUGUGUAAGAAAAAAUGGAAGAAUUUGGAAUAAGCAAAAAAAUCA
ensembl:lncRNA